UUUCAGUUAUAUAUGCUCUUUAAUAUAUAAUUCAAGGGUUCUCUCGAAACGCUCUGUUCUCUCUCCUAAAAAUAAAAGCCUUGAACCCUAGAACUCACCGGAGUUCCGGCGCCGCGGCCGGUUCUCCGGCGAGUUCUCUUUCCUUUUUCUCUAGUUUUCAAUAGCUCUUGUUCGUGUGGUGAAGUUGAGGCGGAAACAAGCUCCACGAAGAGGUUCGACCUCCGUUUAGUUCUACCCUCUUCUCACCGGAGAGUUUGUUUUUGUUUUUGUUUUUGUUGGCUUAAGCUAGAUAAGGAGACGAGGAAGCCUUUUCCACCGGGCAUUCGCGUUGCUUAGAAGAAGGGUCGUGGUUACCUGUCCGUGUGUUAAGGGGACGAAAUUGACGAUAAGGGGUCUUGGGCUAACUUUAACGCCGCCGUCAGGGGAUUACCGGAAAAAAAAAAAGGAAAUCUCGACGGUAAUUGGUGAAGUUAGGGUUAGAGUUUUGUAGAUUUCCGAUCAAUUUCGAAAUUCUCCGUUCUGGUUUUCUUCUUUGUUAUUUUGGUGCUCUGAUAUAGGCUCUUUUUUUCAGGUUUGUGAUGGGGAUUGUACUCAUUACAUUCAAAAUUUCAAAUCUGUACUCAUGGUAUGCUACUAAUCAUGAAUUUCUUUUCUUUAAAGGAGAGAAAUCAAGUUACUUAUUACAGUGAUAUUACCUUCCUGUCGUUUCUUGCUUUGGUUUUGUUGUUCAAGCUCCACAGGUUACAAAGAGUAUCCAGCGUGGUCAAUUAUCCAAGCUUCUCCCUUGGUGAAAAAAGGACAUCGGGAACAACAUGUAAUGUAGGCUUCGUCUCGCUAGAAUCAGGGCGAGGUUACCUACACAGUGGUUCCAACACUCAGGGGAUAACUAGGAUAGCAGUUUCUUUUAAGUUGUUAUGGUUUCUAGCGUUCAUAAGAGCAAGUGUUGCUCGUAGCUUUGUUGUAAAGGUCUUAAUAGGCCUAGUUCUUAUUGUUUUAGAGUGAACUAUUUCAAUUUAUGCAAAUUAAUCCUUUGUC